rnacentral:rRNA from 1 species
GAUGAACGCUGGCGGCGUGCCUAAUACAUGCAAGUCGAGCGAACGGACGAGAAGCUUGCUUCUCUGAUGUUAGCGGCGGACGGGUGAGUAACACGUGGAUAACCUACCUAUAAGACUGGGAUAACUUCGGGAAACCGGAGCUAAUACCGGAUAAUAUUUUGAACCGCAUGGUUCAAAAGUGAAAGACGGUCUUGCUGUCACUUAUAGAUGGAUCCGCGCUGCAUUAGCUAGUUGGUAAGGUAACGGCUUACCAAGGCAACGAUGCAUAGCCGACCUGAGAGGGUGAUCGGCCACACUGGAGCUGAGACACGGUCCAGACUCCUACGGGAGGCAGCAGUAGGGAAUCUUCCGCAAUGGGCGAAAGCCUGACGGAGCAACGCCGCGUGAGUGAUGAAGGUCUUCGGAUCGUAAAACUCUGUUAUUAGGGAAGAACAUAUGUGUAAGUAACUGUGCACAUCUUGACGGUACCUAAUCAGAAAGCCACGGCUAACUACGUGC